rnacentral:rRNA from 1 species
CAGUAGCCGCGGGAAUACAGAGGAUGCAAGCGUUAUCCGGAAUGAUUGGGCGUAAAGCGCGCGCAGGUGGUUUAAUAAGUCUGAUGUGAAAGCCCACGGCUCAACCGUGGAGGGUCAUUGGAAACUGUUAAACUUGAGUGCAGGAGAGAAAAGUGGAAUUCCUAGUGUAGCGGUGAAAUGCGUAGAGAUUAGGAGGAACACCAGUGGCGAAGGCGGCUUUUUGGCCUGUAACUGACACUGAGGCGCGAAAGCGUGGGGAGCAAACAGGAUUAGAUACCCCCGUAGUCCCUGUCUCUUAUAC